rnacentral:rRNA from 1 species
UACGGGGGGGGUAAGCGUUGUUCGGAAUUACUGGGCGUAAAGGGCGCGUAGGCGGCUCUCUAAGUCCCGUGUGAAAGCCCUCGGCUUAACCGAGGAACUGCACGAGAAACUGGAGAGCUUGAGUUCGGGAGAGGGAAGCGGAAUUCCGGGUGUAGCGGUGAAAUGCGUAGAUAUCUGGAGGAACACCGGUGGCGAAGGCGGCAUCCUGGACCGGUAUUGACGCUGAGGCGCGAAAGCUAGGGGAGCAAACGGG